AGGGGCGGGGCUCCUCCUGGAGGCGCCCUCGCUCGCUCUCUAAUGUCAGCCGGCUUCGAAGUCGGCCUAGAUCUGCGCGUGCGCCCAACUCGGUGCCCGGCCCAGCGCCAGGCGAGGGGCGACGCCUCGAGGUAAAACGUAGGAGGUGCGAGAGGCGGACCCGGCACGGCCCACUAGUCCCGGAGGGCGCAGGCUCCUGGCCGUGCGGCGGGUGCAAUGGCGGAGGAGCAGGUGAACUGCAGCGUGGAGACGCACACCGACUGUAAGGCAACGGCGGCUGCAGUGCCCACGGCGUCGUCAACGGACGCCUCCGAGGUCACCGCAAAGUCACCGGAGCACGAGCACUAUGACAGCAAGUGCGUGUUCUGCCGAAUCUCGAGGCAGGAGGAAGCCGGCGUCGAACUCCUGCCCUGCGAGAAUGAAGACCUAGUUUGCUUCAAAGAUAUCAAACCAGCAGCACCUCAUCAUUAUCUUGUGGUGCCAAAGAAACAUAUUGGAAACUGCAGAGAUCUAAAGAAAGAUCACAUAGAAUUGGUUGAGAAAAUGGUAACUGCUGGAAAAACUGUUCUUGAAAGGAAUAAUUUCACUGACUUCACAAAUGUAAGGAUGGGUUUCCAUGUACCGCCAUUCUGUUCCAUUUCCCACUUGCACCUUCAUGUUAUGGCACCCGUCAGUCAGUUUGGCUUCUUAUCCAAGUUGGUUUAUAGAGUCAAUUCCUAUUGGUUUAUCACAAAGUGGGAUUCAAGCUAGAACUUUGAGUGACCCCCAGGACAUCGAGUGACCAAGUGAAGUGCCCACAGGACCCAUUGAGUCCCAUUGGGUCCACUGCUCUCUUGCAGCAACUGGGGGCUGUGGCUCUUUACAAAGAAUUAUAAUCCUAAAGUAUUGUGAAGACAAGGAGUUUCAUGGAAAGGAUGGAAAGGACUCUGACAAGUACAGAUUUCUGAUAACCUUAGGUUAUGCCAUUGCACUAGAUAAGAAUUUCCAGAACUCGAAGAAAUUGACUGGCUUAUAAAGCUACUAACCACCAUCAAGCAGGACAAGAAUUAAUUAAAUACCAAGGAAAUACGUUGGCAGAUUUUCAUGCUAAGUUAGCAUGUACUGAAAUUUAAGAUAUGCAGUUUGAAUGAAUUCUGUGAUCAAAGUCAGAUUACCUUUCAUAAGUCAUUCAAUAAAUAGUGCUAUGCACCUGAAUUGGAGAAAAAAAAUUGGUAUUUAAGAAGAUAUAAAUCCAGUGUUAAAUAUGGACUCAUAAAUAGCCUGGUUGGCCAUCUGGUCCUUUCUAAAUUCAUAAAGCUUUGUUAUUAAAAGUUCUAUACUCCAAGACUCAUUGUGAAAGAAAGAAAAUGAUCCAAAUUAUGGGGGAAAAAUUGGUGGGGUGACUAUUCUAAAAUUGCUAGAAUGGUUUAUGACCAGUGUUUGGUUUGUUAAACCCAUAAUCCUGAGAAGAUAGUCAGAACUUCAGGUACAAUUUCUGUUGUCUGAUGGGCCAUUUGACCAUUUACAGAGGGAUUUCAUUCAGUUUCCAUUUUCAAAACAUGUCUUCUGGUUAUAUAAAAGCUUUCCCAUACAAGAAGGCCAAUGAUGCAACAGUCGCUAAAAGUUUAUUAGGAAAUACAUUUCUCUCAUGGGACAUUCCUGGAGAAUCUCCAGUGAUAGAGAUAUUUGUUUCACUAGACAAGUUAUGAAACAGUUAAAUAAGGUACUACAGAUACAAUAGCUUUAGCCAAAGCUAACUGAAUUGGCUGGAUUGCUUUGGUCAAAGGUAUUGUAGAUUGAUGACAAUUAAAGUCUCCUUCCAGUGGAAAACCUAAGUUGACCCCUUAGGAAAUAGUCACUGGAAGGUUCAUACCCUAAAAAUAGAACUGCAUGUAUCUCCUGCUCUCCUAAGCUCUGAUAUGACUAAAUGCUGCAAGGCUUUAAUGUAUUAUACCAAAGUACAUUUUCACCAGAGAGAGGAAGCUUUUUAUGAUCCACCAACUGAGUACAAUGAAACCCUUCAUGAUGUAGAACCCUGAGGUUGGAUCUUCUGGAAAUGAUAUCAGAGAAAGACUCCCCUUGCCACCUACAAUGCAACAAAACUUUGGGACCUUGAGCCUUGGCUCCAUAUCUGAAAACUCGAAAGGGACUGUUACACCAUUGGAGACCCUCAGGUAAAGCUAAACAGGGAAGUUUCUCCCCAGAAGCAGGCAGCAUCCUGGAUGUGGACAGCUUUCCCAAGAUCACAGAUUAAGACUUCUCUGCCAUCAUGAAACUCUUACUUUUCUUAAUUUUUUCUUACUUACGCUAUCUUUUUCACUUGGAAGAAUAAUACUGUAAUUAGAAUUUUACAAUCAGUAGCUUCUGUGGGUAACAUGACAGAGUAUUGGAUUUGUCAUACCAAAUACAGAUCUUCGCAUGACCUAGGGGAUUCAUUGGUUUACCCAGUGGGUAACUCUGGCAAUAUCCCUAAUGUAACUGUUGUUCAAAUUGUACUAGUGGUAAGAUUUCUGGACCUUGUUUUAACUUAAUCCAGUGUCUUGGUCUGUUUUCUGUUGCUUCUAACAGAGUAGGUGAAACUGGGUAAUUUAUAAGGGAAUGAAAUUUAUUUCUUACAGUUUCAGAGGCUGGGAAAUCCACAGAUGAGGGGUCAUAUCUGGUGAGGGCCUUCUUCUGGGUGGCAGCUCUCUAUAGUGUCCCGUGACAAUGCAGGGUAUCACAUGGUGAGGAAAAGUCUCUCAUGUGCUCUUAUAAAGCCACCAGUCCACAUCCAUCAUAACUCAUUAUUCUAUUAAUGGAUUAAUCCAUUCAUGAGAGCAUAGUCUUCAUGAUCCAACCACCUCUUAAAGUUCUCAUCUUUCCAAUAUCAUAAUUGGAUUUUCUACCCUCUUAAACCUAUUACAGUGGAGAUCAUGUUUCCAACAAAUGAACUUUUGGGAGACACAUUUGACCCAUAGCACCCUGCAAUGGUGGUAUCCAAAAACCACGACCAAUGAGUAUAUCACGAGGCAGAUUUACACCGAAAGCCCAAAUGGAGUUCCUUGCAAGUGGAUUCAUGUGCUAGGGAACUAAAGUCCUCUUUUAACCUGUAAUAACUUUGCCUCAGAUCUUGGCUAGAAACUGCUAAUUUCACCAUUCCAAGUAACGUAUCCACGAACAACACCACCAGCACCUCAGGGCCCUGGACCCCCCCCCCCCCCCACACACACAACCAGGCACACCACCAGCGCCAAGGAGCAUGCCAAAAAUAUCACCUCCAUGUUUGGGGCCCACCACAGCCACCACAGUAACCACGGCUGCCACAAAAGUGGCUAGACAUCACAACCACCACACAGAUGGUCCACCAGCCACUGGAGUGCAUUGACACAAGGAGAGUCACCAGCAGAGACCAAAGAAAAGAAGAGGAUGUUUCUCCAAAGCCCAUUACAGAGUGAUAGAAGAAGCAUCUGCUUACGAUAGUGUUGGGGGACCUGAACACACCUGUCAGCAUUGAACAGAUCAUAUAGGCAACAAAUCAACAGAGUAACCAUUAUUCUUUCAGAGGGAUAGAAGUAAUCUAGGGUUAUCAGUGGUGGGGGGGGAUAGGGAGAGAUUGGACAAGGAACAUAAAGCAUAAGUACAUUUUGUAACACUAUACAUACUAGUAAUAUUGAUUUGAUCAACACAUGUCAACAUUGAAUCCCAAAAGUAUGUAUAAUCAAUCAUGAUUCAAUUAAAAAAAAAUGUAUCCAUGACCAAUAGAAGUGGAAAAGCGACCUUGUGUGCACCCAUGGUAUUAUACUUUUAUUUGCAGAGGAUUUCGCAGCCAACCUUACACAUGGUCAUUAUUUAUAAGGAGAUAUUUAUAUAUAUAUAUGCACACACACACAUAUACAUACAUACAUAUAUAUGGUUUGGAGUAAAUGUAAAUGAGGCAAUAUUUAGAAAAUUAUCCCUUAUAGUAGACUCUAUAGUAGGUUCCACUGCAAAGGCUAUGAUUGUGCAACAGACUUCUUUAAAUUCUCUUACUAAAGUUGUAAUAGGCAAUAGAAUUUCUCUAGAUUACCUACUGUCUGAACAGGGAAGAAUCAGUGCAGUUGCUGACACUCUUCUUGCACAUGGAAAAAUCCAUCAGGCAUUAUAGAGACUUAGUUGCAGAGGAUUAACAAACAGCCUGCUUGGUUAAAAUGGGCAGAUUCUUCAUCUGUCUCAUUCUUUGACCUAUUUGAUUUUGGUUGGUUUGGUUCAUGAUACCCUGGCUAAGGAGUAUACUCCAAACUCUUGGUGUUAUCAUCCUGCUAGCCAUAAUAGUAGUCUCCCUUGUACGCUGUAUUCUCUCAAAAAUUUUUGCUAUUUGUGUGCAGCUAUCUGUAGAAUGUCAAAUGUCUCUCCUGAGGUGGAAUGACAAAAAGUCAAAGUAGUAUGUGAUCAGGAUGACACCAUAACCUAUGAAUGACAUUUUGAGACUGGAAACCCAAAAUUAUGAAAACCGAAAGUAGUGCUAAUUCCCUGUGUUUUAGUCACACUCUUAUCUAGGUGAUAAUCUGACCAAAAGGGGGAGGACAUUGUCUUGGACUGAGCUCCUGCACUCAUACCCAACAGAUCAGACUAAACCGAAAUGGAGUCACUCAUGCUAAGGCCACAUAAUCAAACUCAAACUUUAAGGAAGCAGAUAGAUCUCAAAACAGAUCAGUUUUUUUCUCCCUAAAACAGAAGACUCCAGCAUAAGGAAGUCCCCUAUGCUGUAACCAUUACCCAAAAAAGUAACCUAAAGUAACCUGAUUCUUUUUUAUUUAUUUAUUUAUUUUUAAAUUUUAAUUUAUCAAUAUACAAUGUAGUUGAUUUUCCUGUCCCUUUACAAAUACUUCCUUUUCCUCCCUCCCUCUCUACCCUCUCCCUCAUCAACAUCGUAUCUGUAAUCUGAUGUUAACCAGUUUUUUUUUUUUCCUAUUGUUUCCUUGCUCCCACCUUAUAAAACUCACUGUUCUGCUAUUUCCCAGUGGGAUUUGAGUCCAAAUAAGUCCAUUUCUGAUGGUGACAGUAUGACGUCAGUAUCUAAAGCUUUAAAAGGGGGCAAUUGUUAAAUUAAGUUUGGCCUAAAGGUUUCUUAGGAUAUAGUGAACUGUAAUCUAAUUUGGUGUGUAAACAGACUGUAAUCCACUCUUAUAACAAGUAGUCAAAUCUCAACUAAAUACAGGCAAACAACUGUUCAAACUGUGUUCAAAUGAGGCAAUCACCCAGCUGUAACCAAUCCAGCUGUUUCUGUAUCUCACUUCUGUUUUCUGUAUGUCACUUUCCCAUUUCUGUCUAUAAAUCUUACUGAACAUGUGACUGCUGUGGAGUUGCUCUGAACCUAUUCUGGUUCCGAUUUGCAAGUCAUUUUUUGCUCAGUUAAACUCUGGUAAAUUUAAUUUGUCUAAAGAUUUUCUUUUAACAUUUACCAGGCUAUUUUAUGUUUUCAUUUUGAUAAGGUGACCUAUAGUUGCUAUAUCUGAAUGAUAUCAAAUAGUAUUUACCAUUUGUUAAUGAAUGGUAUUCUAGUCAUAGUACAGAAGAAAUUAAGCAUCUGAUUUC